UACGUAGGGAGCAAGCGUUGUCCGGAUUCAUUGGGCGUAAAGAGCUCGUAGGCGGCUUGGCAAGUCGGGUGUGAAAACUCCAGGCUCAACCUGGAGACGCCACCCGAUACUGCCAUGGCUAGAGUCCGGUAGGGGACCACGGAAUUCCUGGUGUGAGCGGUGAAAUGCGCAGAUAUCAGGAGGAACACCAAUGGCGAAGGCAGCUCGCUGGGACGUGACUGACGCUGAGACGCGAAAGCGUGGGGAGCAAACAGG
rnacentral:rRNA from 1 species